rnacentral:rRNA from 1 species
UUUUUAUAUCUCGCCCGCGGAAAAAAUAGCAUAUCAAUAAGCGGAGGAAAAGAAACCAACAGGGAUUGCCCUAGUAACGGCGAGUGAAGCGGCAACAGCUCAAAUUUGAAAUCUGGCUCUUUCAGAGUCCGAGUUGUAAUUUGCAGAGGGCGCUUUGGCUUUGGCAGCGGUCCAAGUUCCUUGGAACAGGACGUCACAGAGGGUGAGAAUCCCGUACGUGGUCGCUAGCUAUUGCCGUGUAAAGCCCCUUCGACGAGUCGAGUUGUUUGGGAAUGCAGCUCUAAAUGGGAGGUAAAUUUCUUCUAAAGCUAAAUAUUGGCCAGAGACCGAUAGCGCACAAGUAGAGUGAUCGAAAGAUGAAAAGCACUUUGGAAAGAGAGUCAAACAGCACGUGAAAUUGUUGAAAGGGAAGCGCUUGCAGCCAGACUUGCUUGCAGUUGCUCAUCCGGGCUUUUGCCCGGUGCACUCUUCUGCAGGCAGGCCAGCAUCAGUUUGGGCGGUGGGAUAAAGGUCUCUGACACGUUCCUUCCUUCGGGUUGGCCAUAUAGGGGAGACGUCAUACCACCAGCCUGGACUGAGGUCCGCGCAUCUGCUAGGAUGCUGGCGUAAUGGCUGUAAGCGGCCCGUCUUGAAACACGGACCAAGGAGUCUAACAUCUAUGCGAGUGUUUGGGUGUCAAGCCCGAGCGCGUAAUGAAAGUGAACGGAGGUGGGAACCCGCAAGGGCGCACCAUCGACCGAUCCUGAAGUUUACGGAAGGAUUUGAGUAAGAGCAUGGCUGUUGGGACCCGAAAGAUGGUGAACUAUGCUUGAAUAGGGUGAAGCCAGAGGAAACUCUGGUGGAGGCUCGCAGCGGUUCUGACGUGCAAAUCGAUCGUCAAAUUUGGGCAUAGGGGCGAAAGACUAAUCGAACAUCAAGGCCCU